UACGUAGGGGGCGAGCGUUGUCCGGACUUAUUGGGCGUAAAGAGCUCGUAGGCGGUUCGGCAAGUCACGUGUGAAAUCUCCACGCUCAACGUGGAGGCGCCACGUGAGACUGCUGUGACUCGAGUCCGGUAGGGGAGCGUGGAAUUCCCGGUGUAGCGGUGAAAUGCGCAGAGAUCGGGAGGAACACCCGUAGCGAAGGCGGCGCUCUGGGCCGGUACUGACGCUGAGGAGCGAAAGCAUGGGGAGCGAACAGG
rnacentral:rRNA from 1 species